rnacentral:rRNA from 1 species
UACGGAGGAUUCGAGCGUUAUCCGGAUUUAUUGGGUUUAAAGGGAGCGUAGGCGGGUUGUCAAGUCAGUUGUGAAAGUUUGCGGCUCAACCGUAAAAUUGCAGUUGAUACUGGCAUCCUUGAGUACAGUAGAGGUAGGCGGAAUUCGUGGUGUAGCGGUGAAAUGCUUAGAUAUCACGAAGAACUCCGAUUGCGAAGGCAGCCUGCUGGACUGUAACUGACGCUGAUGCUCGAAAGUGUGGGUAUCAAACAGG